AGAAAGAAAGAAAAAAAAAAGCAAAACAAACCAUUCCCAUUCUCUCUCUCUUUCUUUUAAUGAACAUACAUACUGAUUUAGAGCCAUCACUGAAUUGGGUUUCAAAUUCAUAAAAAUUGUGCAAAACUCAGGAAAGCCCUGGAAAAUGGACAAAUCUGCCCUUUAAAUGACUUUCACCAGGAACCUCCAAUCUUAUUAAUCAAACUAUAAAGUACAUACUUCACCUGAAAAAUAUGAGGAUAAACAAGGAGCACUGCAAAUGAAAAAAGUGUGGAAGCAGCUUUCAGGCUGAAGAUAAGAUCUAAGCUGGAAGUCCAGUCUGAGCACCAUGAGUCUAUCAAAUCCCUGGGAAAAGAUGCCUGCAUAAACUUCAGCCUGUUCAGCCUGCACUGUUAAUUCACAAGAUCCUGAUAGCAUGUGGUAGAUGUCCUUCUGAGGUGCUUUACUAGGAAUGUUAUUUGCAGUAAUAUGAUAACUAUAACCCGAGAAAAUUGUGGUUUUCAUUAAUUUAUGUGUUCUGCCUCCCAUCACCUCUUUUCUUACUUGGAAUCUAAAUUUUACUGUUAAUUGUUGAGAUUUUUACAACUUUGCUUUAUACUUACAUGGCAAUGUACAGCUAGAGUGAGAUGCAAAUUUACAAAGCUUUUAGACAUUGCCUUCAUUCUAAACUGCAAAAAGAGUUUAGUGCUGAAGUCCUUAUCUGACUCUAAAUUCACCUCUUCCUCAGAAUGAGACACUCCUGUUCUUCUGAAAUACAUGUUACCUGGGUAACACUGUCCCCUUUACUGUCUUCCUAAUUUCAUAACGUCUAGGUGUUGCAAUACAACAAAUAUAUUCAAACUUUGUCUAAUGUGCAACAAUGAAAAGAAGGCUCUUAUAAUAAGUUGUCACCAAGGGCUCCUCUCUAAUCCUGGGAGUUUUAAAGAAAAUAAUUUCCCUGGAGAACCUGGGAAAAUAAAACAAAUAGGAACAAAAAUGUAAUGGAAAUUCCCUUAUAUGGUGGUGUUUUAAAGACUGACAUGUCAUAUAGUCGGUAUGGCAGAAUUGCCACUGGAAAACCCUAGAAAUGAAUGAGCAAUCCCACCCACAACUUUUCCCCCUCUUCUGGUUAGUGGAGGUGCUACUGAAGAACAGCUGCAUCAGCACAUAGAACCAAAAGACGGGAUAUCAAAUUCUGCACCUGGUUUUAUCACAUAGUAGCUGUAUAGCACCUGCCACAAAUUAAAAAUUCUUCUAGUUACGUUUCCAUGUCUGUAAAGAGGGGCCUAUAAUAUUUCACUUGAAAAGAGUGAUAUCAGUUGCCACAAUUAGAUUCAAAUUACAGAGUCAGUGUUACAGUAAAGGAAUAGUGUCCUACCAUCCAUUUUAAUAAGUAUGAGUAGAAAAAGUUUAAACUGGAAUCACAUCUCCACAGGACAAUCUGGUGUUUAUUACACAUAACUGCUAACAUCGCAAUGUCUGAGGGAUGCGUGUGGAUAUCAACGCAUCUGUAAAAGUUCAGCAGGUUGGAUCCUUCUUCCUUGGCAACAUUUUUGAACAACUUUUAUUGAAUGCAAUAUGCUCUGUUUGAAUAGUAAAAGCUAACUGCUGCCAGGAAAUAAAUUCAAGAUGAAAGUCUUUAUUAUUGCUGUUCCAGGAAGAAAGACUGAGCUUCUGCUGGGCAGAACUGCAUGAAGAGCACUGCAGGUAUCAUUCAGUUGUGCUCUGCUUGUCCUGUUCAGGAAGCACAUGAAGGAGCUAUUCCACUGAAGUAAGAGACUGCAAACAUUAAAAUUCUGACUUCUUCACCACAUUACUGUUUCAGUCUGAAUAACAGAUGUCUGUAUCCUUCCUAAAUCAGGAGGAACUUUUUUCACCUCAGGUUGUACAGAGCAGAAAAGGAGAAGGCGUUGAUCUAAUGCACUUUCUUCUCUAUCAUCUUUGUGAAAAGUUCUGCAUUUAUAAAGUGUACCAGGGUGUAAAAAACUUUCUAAUUUUACACUCCUGAGUAGGAAAGUACUAUUACUAGAAUGCUAUAGCUAGACAAUAAUAGGAAUUAAGACACUUGUAGCCCCGUAUCAUUAAUCUGGAAGCUUUUCUCUAGUGAUUUCUUUAAACAACACUGCAGAUCUUUUCCAGAAGGUACCUUGCUCAGGGCAGGGUUUCAUCUAGGGUCUUCUCUCUCUCAAAAUCAGCCUCUUCCUACAGCUAUUUAAGUGUUAGUUGUAACUGGGCAAAGAGAAGAUCCUUGUUCACUGAUCCUACUCAGUGAUUUGUUCUCACAGUUUCUCAAUGAAUUGUUCAGAAGAAGAAAAGAAAAACAAAAACAAACAAAAAAACCUUUCUUAGAAAUGCUGAAGAGAAUUUUAGGAAGUGCUCACAAGUGCUUUUAAGACUAUGAAAUAAAAUCUGUAACUUGGUAAAUUGCAACAUCAAUAGUUAUUUAAAACUAGGUUCAUCAGAAAACUUUUCCCAUAAAAACACUGCAAUCAAAAAACAUUUUCAGCACUUCAUCUCUACCUCUCUAGCAUCUUCCUUCUUUAGCUUAAAAUUUUAUUGUUCCCUUUGAUCACAGCCCUUAACUUAUUCAUUUCCAGGUCUGUAAAAUACACAUAAAAACACUUAUUUACAUAGUAAAAAUGUCCUGCGACCAGUGAUUAAGACUAUUGUGUGCCCACUAUAAUUAAGAACUUUACUGUGUGGCUGACUGCAUCCUCCCAUGUUCAACCCAUAAACAUUCCUUGCAAAAGUUCUAACUAGCAUUUAAAGUACACUUAAUGGCUUUGUUAACAGACAUAUUCCAUCUGACAGGCACUAGCCUGAUUGAGUUUACCUACUGGCUAAUGCACUUAAGCCUCCUGUUCUGAGCACAGCCUGUGAGCCUACAAAGAUUCAUUGUUUGCCUCCUUAUAGGUGAUAAUGAAAUUGGCAUCCUUUUCACACUCCUGAAUGGAUUCCAUGAGAAUUUGAAAAAGUUGUUUGCUACUACUGGUAUUAUAUAACCAUCUUAGUUUCAGCAUGCAUAAAAGCAUGUUCUUGUCAAAUACCUUAUCUCCAGGAUUGUAUUAAUAACUAAGCAUGAGUCAUGCUGAGCAUCAGACAUGUUUGUGUUUAUACAUGUUAUACAGUAAGGACUUACUCUAAAAAAACACCUAAAUCUGUUUGCCAAGUGCAUUAUCAAUGCAUUAUCCUAUGACUUGGGUGGCCCUUCAUUUAAUAUGCAUGUGGCCCUGAUGUUCUUCUGCCUAUAAGCAAGCAAACAUUACACUGGAAACUGAAAAGAAGAUCACAAGCAGAUUGCAUUACCAGAUAGAAAUCUUGCCUUGUCCAGCUAAUCUUUAAAAUUAAGAUUUUAAACUUGCAUUAUCAGUGCUUAGUAAGCCAGGCUGUAAAGCACUGAGCAUUUUGACCUGAAAUACAACAAAAAACUGAAUCACAAGCUCAACCUUAAGCACACAAGUAGUCCCAUAGAUUUCAGUUAUAUUAAGGAGGUGUUUUAAAGCUUAGUUUUAUCAGUAGCAAUGUUUAGCACUUUGCAAAAGUCAGUCACCAAAGGAAGCUCUGAGCAAGGGCUACAAUUACCUUGACCAUGUAUCUACUGUAAGAAUAACAAGAAGUAACCAUGACACAGUACUACUUUUUAUGUGAGUGGUUUGAAAAUAACACAGAAUAAGAGAAUAAAUAAUUAUUUAAAUACAUCUCAGUUAGAACUGGUAUAUUCUGAUCAAGGGGAAAAGAGAGGAGUCUCAUUGCAGUACACCAAAAUAAGAGAAACAAGUGUUUUGACAAAUUUAAAAAUUUCACUGCAAAAUAUCAGAGAAAAGUCAUGAACUUGCACUGUCCCUCCCUGUCAACUUAACAGACAGGAGCUGUGCGUGUGACCUUAGUGCACUGAACUGCAGCUACCACAACCUUCUGGAUGGACAAUCACGUUGAUAUUUUAUUGCUCUUUUAAGUUACAUUUAUAAACUGGAAAUACUAAGAAAUGCAAAGGAGUUCCUAUGAUCAUAUUCAUCCCCACACAAAACUCUUUGCCAGACAUUUCUACAGGAGAUAAAGUAAAUUACAUCUUCAGCAGCUUUUAUUGAUCUAUUAUGUCUGGUACAAUAUCUUACCAUGAAAUAGGGAUAUC